UGGGUGAAUCUGACUGGGGCAUUGCAGCUGCCUCUCCCGCCGAGUUGGAGACGGAUGGGCUGGGACGGGUUUUGGGGGGGUGUCCCCAAUUCUGACUGGGAGUGGAGGAACCCCUCCUGAGCUCUCUUGUGGGGGUGCCCCCUCCCCAGGGCACUCCCCAGUCCCUGAGCCAGCCGAGAGGAAGGAGGCCAGCGAUGCGACUGGGGCGGCUCCUUUCUCCUGCACCCCAAAUGUGAGGGAUGCACCCCAAAUUUUGCUCUUUUCAAAAUAGGGGACCAGGAUCUCAGGGGAGAGUAGCUGAGGCCUUGCUCGGAGUCCCAGGAGAUCCACAGGUCCAGCAAUGAACAGUGAGAGGUCAGAGGUGGAAGGCUCAGCAGGAGAGGAGAGGAGGAUCAGCAGAGGUCAUGAGAAGGCCAGAAUCCAGGGUCAGGCUGUCUGGAACAGGAAGUAAAAUGGGCCGAGAUGGAGCGAGCCCCCAGUGUGCUUCCAAGGCCACUCCCAACUCCCUGAAACACCCUGCUACGUACUGAUGCAAUGUCCUGCGCUGUGUAUGAGAGCACCUUCUCUUCUGAAACCCCUAUACAAGGGAGGGGCCCCUGCGGAGACCGUGCCCUGCCAUCCAGGGUGGAUGGAGUGCGGAGAGUGGAGUCCCUGAACUGAGUAGUGGGAAAGGCCCAUCUCCUAAUUCUCUUCCGGGAGAGACAUCAGGUAAAGCUUGGUGAUUAACAGGUGGAUUGAGAUUUAUUGAUCAACUAGUUCAGGAUCACCACAUGCCUGGAAACACUGCAGUGGGGUCCUCAAAAAUUUAUACAAAUAACCAGGGGACUUCCAUCAUCAAAUACAAUAACAGCAUCUCAGGCAACCUCAACUCACAUUCUUGGAAGGAUUACCACAGCAUUUUAGGAACUUCUGACCAACUGUGACAAUUCUGUUCUUUCAGUCCUCAAGGGGAUUCUAAAAAACUAGUGACAAAGUAGGGAAGCAGCUGAGCUGGAAAGGAGUUCUGAGGACGAUGGAACCUUGGGUAAGGAGGAAGACGGCUGCCCACCCGCCCUUUUCUGGCAGCCACCCUCCCUCACACUGUCCGUUCCUUGAUGACACAGCUGAUGUGAUUAAGAUCGUCCCCAAAUCGCUUCA